rnacentral:rRNA from 1 species
AUUGAACGCUGGCGGCAGGCCUAACACAUGCAAGUCGAACGGUAACAGAAAGCAGCUUGCUGCUUUGCUGACGAGUGGCGGACGGGUGAGUAAUGUCUGGGAAACUGCCUGAUGGAGGGGGAUAACUACUGGAAACGGUAGCUAAUACCGCGUAACGUCGCAAGACCAAAGAGGGGGACCUUCGGGCCUCUUGCCAUCGGAUGUGCCCAGAUGGGAUUAGCUAGUAGGUGGGGUAACGGCUCACCUAGGCGACGAUCCCUAGCUGGUCUGAGGAGGUGACCAGCCAAACUGGAACUGAGACACGGUCCAGACUACUACGGGAGGCAGCAGUGGGGAAUAUUGCACAAUGGGCGCAAGCCUGAUGCAGCCAUGCCGCGUGUAUGAAGAAGGCCUUCGGGUUGUAAAGUACUUUCAGCGAGGAGGAAGGUGUUGAGGUUAAUAACCUCAGCAAUUGACGUUACUCGCAGAAGAAGCACCGGCUAACUCCGUGCCAGCCGCCGCGGUAA